rnacentral:rRNA from 1 species
UACGUAGGGUGCGAGCGUUAAUCGGAAUUACUGGGCGUAAAGCGUGCGCAGGCGGUUUUGUAAGCCAGAUGUGAAAUCCCCGGGCUCAACCUGGGAAUGGUAUUUGGGACUGCAAGGCUGGAGUGUGGCAGAGGUGACUAGAAUUCCCGGUGUAGCAGUGAAAAGCGUAGAUAUCAGGAGGAAUAACGAUGGCGAAGGCAGGUCCCUGGGUUAACACUGACGCUCAUGCACGAAAGCGUGGGGAGCAAACAGG